GAUGAACGCUGGCGGCGUGCCUAAUACAUGCAAGUCGAGCGAAUGGAUUAAGAGCUUGCUCUUAUGAAGUUAGCGGCGGACGGGUGAGUAACACGUGGGUAACCUGCCCAUAAGACUGGGAUAACUCCGGGAAACCGGGGCUAAUACCGGAUAACAUUUUGAACCGCAUGGUUCGAAAUUGAAAGGCGGCUUCGGCUGUCACUUAUGGAUGGACCCGCGUCGCAUUAGCUAGUUGGUGAGGUAACGGCUCACAAAGGCAACGAUGCGUAGCCGACCUGGGAGGGGGAUCGGCCACACUGGGACUGAGACACGGCCCAGACUCCUACGGGAGGCAGCAGUAGGGAAUCGUCCGCAAUGGACGAAAGUCUGACGGAGCAACGCCGCGUGAGUGAUGAAGGCUUUCGGGUCGUAAAACUCUGUUGUUAGGGAAGAACAAGUGCUAGUUGAAUAAGCUGGCACCUUGACGGUACCUAACCAGAAAGCCACGGCUAACUACGUGCCAGCCGCCGCAGUAA
rnacentral:rRNA from 1 species